CUUGUUAGAAUGAAUCGUAAAAAAGUAAAAGUCAUUGCAGUAGCUGAAGCACUUGGUUUAUUGGAUACAAUUAAAUCAGAAAGGAGGUACUGGGUUCAUCUUCUCAAUGUGGAACGAGAAAAAACGGGAUAUUUUAAAGAUUUUUUUGAAAACAUAAGGCGUUAUCCACAAAAAUUUUUCGAAUACUAUCGAAUGUCAAUUUCGAGUUUUGAUGAGUUAUUAGAAAUUCUACGUCCACAUAUAACUAAAACCACCACAGUAUUUCGUAAUCCAAUUUGUGCUGAAGAACGGCUUACAAUUACUUUGAGAUUUUGGUAUUGAUGAUCACUGGAAUCGCUACAUUAAUUCAAAUGAAAGAGUAUUCGUUCAUGAUUCGACUUAAUAAUAUAAUGACACCUCAAUUCCCAAAACUAGAAUGAAUAUCUUAGAAAAAAAUUGAUUGAUAUAACGUCAUAUCAGCGAUGAUCAAUGAUUUAAAUUGAGGACAAAUUAGUGCUGCUGACCGAAAUUAAAACACAGUAACCAAGCUUGGUAAAACUUUUCAGGAGACCUUGUUUACUAAACAUUAACAGGCCGCUGAAAAAUCUUAAUUACACAAAAUGUCAACAAUAUUUUAUAGAUACUAUAGUAACCUUCGAAAAAUCAGUAUCUAAUAAGAAAAUGAUUUGCCUAAUUAAAACUCCUUAAAUUUAGUUCUUGGCAUGAAAUAACCUUGUGAAAAACAACCAUGGAAUAAAUAACCCUAUGAUAAAAAUUACGUGUAUGGUGUAAAUAACCUACCUAAAAAGGUAGAUUCUUUCAAUUUUUUUUACCAUCACUAGUGAUUCAACUAGAUUCGACAAUUUAAAACUUUUUACUGGUUCAUUCUUUAUGGCAGUGGAUCAUUUAUUGCUUGACCAAUUAAAAAAAUGUAAUUGAUCAAUAAUGUUCUACUUUCCUUAAUUUUAUUUUUGAGAUCAUCAUAAUCAUAAUAAUAUAUUAUAAUAUAUUCCUUACUUGCUUAAGAGGAAGUCACACCCACAUAAUAUGUUAUCUCUGUCUUACACACGUAUACGACGUAGCAAAUUGAUGUUCACCAAUCACCAGUUUCAUUAGUGUGCUGCCAGUUUCAAUAUUAGAGUGAAUUUACUUACUAUAAAAUUUUUAGGUAAGAAUAUUAUCUGUA
rnacentral:misc_RNA from 1 species